rnacentral:tRNA from 1 species
CGGGGUGUGGCUCAGUUGGUAGAGCGCUACGUUCGGGACGUAGAGGCCGCCAGUUCGAAUCUGGCCACCCCGA